GUCCAGCUGGCUCAGUUCGUGGAGCGUGUGACUCCUGAUUUCAGGGUUGUGAGUUCAAGCCCCGUGUUGGGUG
rnacentral:tRNA from 1 species